rnacentral:tRNA from 1 species
UGGCUCAGAUGGUAAAGCGUCUGCCUACAAUGCAGGAGACCUGGGUUCGAUCCCAG